ensembl:snRNA U6 U6 spliceosomal RNA
AUGCUGGCUUUGGCAGCACAUAUCCUAAAAUUGGAAUGAUUCAGAGACUAGCAUGCCCCCCGUGCAAGGAGGACACACAAAUUUGUGAAGGGUUCCAUAUUUUU